rnacentral:lncRNA from 1 species
GUGUCACAGCGGGCAGGGUCUCGUUUGUGGGAUGGGGCCCUUCAGUCUUUCAACAAGAAUCCAAAAGUGAUGGAACGCCUGGGCGGAGGAAGCAGGCUGGGGCCUGCUCUGCCCGUGGAGAGAGGAGAGCCACCGAAUCCUGGCCCGGCCUUCAGGGCUUUCUGUGCCUUGCCGAAUCUGACGCCUUGGAAGGAUGCCUUAUCUGAUCUCUCCUUGGGAGCCUCCCUCCGCUCGCUCUGUGGGACUGAAGGGCUGGAGGCCUGUGCCAGUGUUAGCAAAACAUUUGGAGUCACCGAGCCUGCGACGAGAGUGGCACUGGAGCACUGGAGGUCGCAGUGCUGAGCAGGCUCUGCCUGCCUCGGCUCCCUGACCCUCAGCCAGUGUCCUCGGCUGUGAAGCAGAGGACAGACAGCCAUGGCAUGCUGUGAAUGCCCGACGUGCACCGUUGUAAUCUGUGCAGAGGCAGCAGUGAUGCCCAAG